rnacentral:rRNA from 1 species
AUAACGGUCCUAAGGUAGCGAAAUUCCUUGUCGGGUAAGUUCCGACCCGCACGAAUGGCGUAACGAUGGCCACACUGUCUCCUCCCGAGACUCAGCGAAGUUGAAGUGGUUGUGAAGAUGCAAUCUACCCGCUGCUAGACGGAAAGACCCCGUGAACCUUUACUGUAGCUUUGCAUUGGACUUUGAAGUCACUUGUGUAGGAUAGGUGGGAGGCUUUGAAGCAGAGACGCCAGUCUCUGUGGAGCCGUCCUUGAAAUACCACCCUGGUGUCUUUGAGGUUCUAACCCAGACCCGUAAUCCGGGUCGGGGACCGUGCAUGGUAGGCAGUUUGACUGGGGCGGUCUCCUCCCAAAGAGUAACGGAGGAGUUCGAAGGUUACCUAGGUCCGGUCGGAAAUCGGACUGAUAGUGCAAUGGCAAAAGGUAGCUUAACUGCGAGACCGACAAGUCGAGCAGGUGCGAAAGCAGGACAUAGUGAUCCGGUGGUUCUGUAUGGAAGGGCCAUCGCUCAACGGAUAAAAGGUACUCCGGGGAUAACAGGCUGAUACCGCCCAAGAGUUCAUAUCGACGGCGGUGUUUGGCACCUCGAUGUCGGCUCAUCUCAUCCUGGGGCUGUAGUCGGUCCCAAGGGUAUGGCUGUUCGCCAUUUAAAGAGGUACGUGAGCUGGGUUUAAAACGUCGUGAGACAGUUUGGUCCCUAUCUUCCGUGGGCGUUGCAGAUUUGAGAAAGCCUGCUCCUAGUACGAGAGGACCGGAGUGGACGCACCUCUGGUGUACCUGUUGUCACGCCAGUGGCAUUGCAGGGUAGCUAUGUGCGGAAGAGAUAACCGCUGAAAGCAUCUAAGCGGGAAACUCGUUUCAAGAUGAGAUCUGCCGGGGAUUGAUCCCCCUGAAGAGUCGUUCAAGACCAGGACGUUGAUAGGCUGGGUGUGGAAGUGCAGCAAUGCAUUAAGCUAACCAGUACUAAUUGCUCGUGAGGCUUGACCCU